rnacentral:lncRNA from 1 species
CUUCAGGAGUGAAGCUGCAGACCUUCGCGUGAUGGAGGUUGAGAAGUCCAACUUCAAGGCACCACAUCUGGUGAGAGCCUUCAUUCCGAUGACAGCCUUCAUGCUGGUAAGAUUUUCUUCAGAGUUCCAAGGUGGUGCACGGCAUCACAUGGCGAAGGAAAUGAGCGUGCUAGCUCAGGUGUCUCUUCCUCUUCUUAUAAAGCCACCAGUCCCACUCCUGUGCUAGUAACUCUUUAAUCCAUCAACCCAUUAAUCCAUGAAUAGAUUAACCCAUGAGGCCUCUGCCCUCAGGACCCAAUCACCUCUUAAAGGCCUGACCUGUCAAUAUUGCCAUACUGGGGACUCAGUUUCAACAUGAGUUUUGAAAGGGACAAACAUUCAAUCCAUAGUAACAUGAGAGCUUUUCAAAGCCCUUCUUUGUUGAAGUAUGUCCUUCUCCAGCCUCUUUUUUCCCAGGCUUUUUGUUUUUUCUAUUGCUUGUGCAGCUGUUAUCCUUUGCUACAGGUGGCAAUAGCUAAUACAUUUGCCUUUAAAUUUGUUUGACAAACACCACCCUGGAAGUAGCCUCAACUCUGGGGAAGCUCCAAGACAGGUAAAAUACAGGUAAGCCCUUGAGCAGAUCCUUCAGGAAGCUACCAUAUGGGUCAAAACACAGAACCACAAUUCUUUAAUUCUUUGAGAAUAAGGUCUGUAUUGUUCCCUCUGUUACCAGCAACCUGCAGCAGGAAAAUGGGCUUCAGUUUUCAAGUCUGCAGCUGAGUUGGGAAGUUGCGGACAGUAACCAGUAAUACACAAUAUUGGCAACAAUGCAACAAAAUGGACACACUCUACUCUCCAGCGGGAGUAGCACAGAAAUACUUUUAAGAAUUUCUGACUACAAAAAAUUGGUUUUUUAAUUCCCUGUGCCAAGUUCAGAAAUAUGCCAUAAUGGAACAAGAUAACUAAAAGAAGAAAACUACCUCAAGGUUAAAAAAACGAAAAGAAGAGAAAGAAAAAAGGAAAGAAGCAGAAGGAAGAACUCUGCUGCAGUACUGGAAGCAGGCAGAUUAUUUAAAUUACGGUGGUGCCAUGGAACAAGAGAAGGCAGAUGAAGAGCGACACCCUUCAAGUUAACACAGGAACAAUUAACAAUAGAAUCCUUAAGAUGCAAAACUCCUUGCUGUUUACCAGCAACAGAAGAGAGGAAGAAGUGGCUCUGGGGGAAUUGCGUGCCAGUCUGCGGCAGGUUGGCUGGAGAAGCAGCCCUGGUUGGAGCUUUGGAGAGACACAUGUGCAUUUACUUGUUACCUGGAAGACCUUUUAAAAAAAAUUCUCGUAAAUCUGUCAUUUGUGUAUCCUCAAGGUUUGUGGCAGAAAGCAGAUAUAUCUGCUCCUGUGUGUAAUUGUUGUUAAAAAACACAAAAAGGAAAUAAAAGUGCACAACAUACCUAGCAGACUUGACCAGAGGGAAUUGGGAAAGGCCAAAGUAAAUUAUUCUAAAAAAUAAGCAAGCAAACCAGAAAAGGUUAAGAUGGAGAGGAGCUUAGAGGAGCAAGUGCUCUUCCCAUGCUGGGAAAAAGGCAGCGACAGAACCGCCUAGUGGGCAGGUGAGGGCACUGAUCACGUGAUAGACUGGGGCCCACUGCAUCUCUUUUCUCUUUGGGUCUUGAGGAUGGAGAGGCAGGAACAUGAAAACAGUGAGAAAUUUUGAGGUUCACUUCCCUUCUUCCACCUCUCACUUCCCCCAUAACCUCUUCCUUUUGAUAGUGCUGGAAGAACAACCCAAGGCCAGCCCUCUUGAAGCAGGCAAAUAGAUGCUUGUCCUUUACUUCAUGUAUAAAGAGAUUGUUUUCUUUCUUUACUAAGACAGUCAGAGCCAAUGAAAGUGGAAGAUAAGUACCUCGAGAGAGCCCUAAGGAGGGAGCAUGGGGGUUCAAGUGUAUGGUCUACUUAGGCAGAGAGGAAUCAGAGUUAAACUAGGCUCAAAAUACAUUUUUAUUUUGAGACAGCCUUGCUCUGUUG